UCGCGUCUAGGUUAUCCUCUCCUCCUCCUCCUCCUCCUCGCUCCUCGCAUGGCACCGCGUCGCUGCAGCCUCACCGGAGCCGUCUUCUUUGCCAGCCGCCGCCGCCGCCUCCGUCGACCCCUUCCGCCGCCGUCGACCCCUUCUGCCCCCGCUGCCACCGCCGUCCCCUUCCGCCGCUGGACACGCCAGAGCCGACUUCUUCGUCGCCAUCGUCCCAUCGCUCCUCCUCUCAUCCUCCUCGCCUCCUCGCUCCUACCCGCAUGUACUAACGCCGCGCCACCGCAGCCUCACCAGAGCCGGCUUCUUCGCCAGCCGCGGCCGCCGCCACCACCGGCCCCUUCCACCGCCAUCGCCACCGCCGCCGCGCACUCCACAGCUAGCAGCCGUGGUCUUCCCCAUCGGCCGCGGAUGGAGCCGACGUCGUCCCCAUCCGGCGCCGCCGUCAAACUCCAUCGCUGCCACAGGUCCAGAAGGCUGGAGCUACACAAUCAGCUAGGUCUUACCAUGGUCAAUCGGCUCCUCCCCUCAGCCCACUUCCAUGGUCAAUGCAGUAAGCUCUACAUCCGGACCUACUGCAAGGCCAGGUCAAUACACUCCAUAUUUUGCUUCAUUUGCAAAUCGGUUUUGCAGCUAACUAAUUGGAUGAGAACAGAUGUCACAUGUAUGUACUGCUCAUAUAUCUUGAUAUCAUCUCGAUCUCGCAAAAUUUUGAUGGUUUGCUUCUCAAAUUGUUUUUUACUGCUCAAUGUAUUUUUUGUAUUCUGUUUUAUAGCGAUUUGUCAUAUACUUCUAAUAGAUCUCAACCUGUAUUGCUGAUGGUUGCUUCUUCCAGCUCAAUGCUUUUUCUCCCUGUAUUCCAUACUCCUGAUUUGUCAUAGGUUUGGAGAUCUCAAAUGCUUCACUAUAUGACAACAUGUACAGUUCAAGCUGAAUAGUUUACAGAGGAACAUAAUAGUAGCUGUCUAGGAUUGGAGAUAAUUUCUGAACCUCAAGACCUCAUUUUUUCUACAUAUACGGCCAUUACGAUUGUUUAGCUGUAUAUUAAUGUUUAGUUAUAUAUGAUUGUUUAACUUAAUUAUAUGCUUACCAAAUUGCUUUGAAUUUUAUCCAAAUUCCACUUGGAACAUCAGGUCAGCAGCCGUCAACAGGUGCAAUGAGGACAAAUUUGUUUGGCCAAUGUUAAAUUCACUCGACAUAUUUUCAAUAGAAAUUUUAUUUGUUUAAUUCUGUUCAUCGAGCCGUGCCCCGCCGUUGGUCAUUGUCGUCAUGCAUUGAUACACUAUAGUCGCCAGCCAGACUUGUGAGCGCGACGGAGGGAGCACGCCACUCUUCAAUCUCUACCUCCAGCGGCGACCCUCACCAAUGCUGAAGUAGCUCCAGUGAAACGUAAUUUCAUAAUGCAUCGAGAAUACCUUGUGGAGUUAUUACUGGUCGCAUGGGUGAAUGAACUCAUCACAAGCAUUGGCAUCAAUCAAGUUCAUGUUCCCUCUGGAACUACUAAGGAAAAAUUCAUGACAACAAAGUUUAUACCUGACAACCACUGCUCGGUGGAUAAGGUAACUGCUACAUUGAGAGAGACUGGUCUUCAAUCAUCAAAUUUGAUUUCUUGGUAUUGAAAUACCAAAAGCAAUGACAAGCAAUGAAUAGUCAGGUGAUAUGUGAGGUUUUGCUUCCAUAGGUUGAUGGCUUGGUGAUUGAGGAUGCAGUAAUUUGUAGUGACAUCCAUGUUUUGGCUUCAUUAAUUAGGAGGAACCAAAGCUGCAAAGGAGGUUUUUGAGCUCAUGAUGUCACAGUUUUACGUACUUCUUUGUGUCACAGUUGUCAAACUGACGUCUCAAUAUUUUCUUGCGAACGAAGCUGACCUCUUAGGCAAUAGUUUUUUUCCCUUACUGUGAAUACAUCCGUCCAAUUCCUCUUCAAAUUGGGCUCGAUUGCAAUAGUUGUUUUUUACAUGAAUUCAUUUGAACUGAUGUUGUGCUCUGAUAUAAUUGUGCACUUAAAAAAUUCUAUAUUCCCUAUGA